GACGAACGCUGGCGGCGCGCUUUAUACAUGCAAGUCGAACGAGAAGCCAGAGCUUGCUCUGGUGGAAAGUGGCGAACGGGUGAGUAACACGUGAGAAACCUGCCCAAAGACUGGGAUAAGCCGAGGAAACUUGGUCUAAUACCGGAUACCUUCUUUUUAUCACAUGUUAAAAAGAAGAAAUGCUCCGGCGCUUUGGGAUGGUCUCGCGACCUAUCAGCUUGUUAGUGAGGUAAAAGCUCACCAAGGCAUCGACGGGUAGCUGGUCUGAGAGGAUGUCCAGCCACAUUGGGACUGAGAUACGGCCCAAACUCCUACGGGAGGCAGCAGUAGGGAAUCUUGCACAAUGAGGGAAACCUUGAUGCAGCGACGCCGCGUGCGGGACGAAGGCCCUAGGGUUGUAAACCGCUUUCAGUAGGGACGAAAGUGACGGUACCUACAGAAGAAGCCCCGGCCAACUAUGUGCCAGCAGCCGCGGUAAU
rnacentral:rRNA from 1 species